rnacentral:rRNA from 1 species
UACGAAGGGGGCUAGCGUUGUUCGGAAUCACUGGGCGUAAAGGGCGCGUAGGCGGAUUGUUAAGUCAGGGGUGAAAUCCCGAGGCUCAACCUCGGAACUGCCUUUGAUACUGGCGAUCUUGAGUCCGGGAGAGGUGAGUGGAACUCCUAGUGUAGAGGUGAAAUUCGUAGAUAUUAGGAAGAACACCAGUGGCGAAGGCGGCUCACUGGCCCGGAACUGACGCUGAUGCGCGAAAGCGUGGGGAGCAAACAGG